UUUUCCAGCAACAAUUGCCUAAUCUGCUCCAUUGUCACCUCUACAUUUCCCAGCCUUGUUUCUAAAGUCUCCAUCCUGACUUCCAUAUUGUGCCUGGUCGUUACUACCAUACACUCCCUAGGAUGAGUGGACCGUGGCUCUGAUACCAAUUUGUUAGGUUCCCCUUUGAUUUUAAUGAUUAGAAUAGUGGUAGAAGUAAAGAAGAAGGUGUAGGUAAGUAAGAAAAACAGAAAAGAACGUAUUAUUGAUGUCGUAUUAUUGAUGUAGGAAAGGUACCUAGAGUUCAUAUGGGAUCUGGGUAU
rnacentral:lncRNA from 1 species